rnacentral:lncRNA from 1 species
GGUCCAGAGUCCCACUGUUCAGAGAACUUUGCCUUAUUUUUACCAUUGGUAGGAAGAGUUCUCAUAUUUCUUAUUGACUCAAGAUGUAUUUGAUAUGGUUGCUUGGCCCCAAAGCCUGUCUGCCCCGACAACUGCAGAAGAUCCAGAGAUACACAGCCAUCCAUCAUAUCUGACAGGGCUGCCUCCUACAGCAGCUGUAUUGUUUAUGAAAUGAGUCACUUUCAUAGCAAAUCCAAAAGCAAACUUAUGCUGGAUUUGACAGACACAUCCCAAUUCAUUCUUCUCAUUCUAUCCCUUCACAUGUUUGCCCAGCUCCUGAGUAGCAGCCUACAUUUGCUAAGAUGGAACUGAGAACCACAAAGUGGGGUUAUUUUCCUUGAACAAAAUCAUUACCCUUGGUUUCCUAGCUUUAGAGUAGUUCAGAAAGCAUGUGCCUUCUCUUUUUUCCAGCAGUGGCCAGUGACGGAGGGAAAAUGAGUGAAUUAUGAGAAAAAAAUUCCCAUUAUUCUUUUAUUUAAUGGCUUAAAUCAUAUCUAAAUUUCUUUUUACAGCAUCAGUUACUCAAUCAAGGUCUAGCCUCACUCUUUUAUGAAGAGUAGCUGCAAAAAAGAAGCUUCUAAAAAAUGGGGCCAUUGUUGAUUGCAUGACUCUGAGAAUGAAUAAAUAACAGAGAUUAACUUAAUUAAGAAAUAGCCAAGGUGUUGGAUGAGAAAGUCACUCAGUAUGAUUCAGCCUCCCAGCCUCUGGGAAUAAAGAAUGGAAACUCCAAAAUAGGCUGAGCAAUAGAAUUUGAGUGACUCCAAAGAAUUCAGUCCUGUGAAUUCAGUCUCUUUUGCUAAUAAAACUAGUUUUUUGAAAGGGGCCACAUGACUGCUUAGUAGCAUGUGAUCAAUGAGCUUAUGAAGUUAUCAGAUGCUGAGUUUUAAAUAAGCUGAGAGUUUAGCAUCCAGGACAUGAACACGUAAUGGAUAAGGGGCACCCAAAAGAGAGGAGACAUUCCAGUGAUGGCAUUUGCUGUUGUUGGGUAGGUGUUCACCUGUGGCAUUCACCUGUGAUGAACACAGUCACUGGGUUAGGUUCCAUGGCCACAACAGUGAAUAAGAUACAGUCUCUGCCUUUGUGGAAAUCAGUCUGGUGGGAGACACAGACUGAUAUACAUAUAGUAUGGUAAACACCAUUUUAAAGAAAGUGCUAUUUGAUGCUAUUAAAUGUGUCUUAUCCAGGAUAUGGAAAUAUCACCCCUGAAAAAAAUAAAUCCCAUUGCUCAAAGAGCCUGUGUAGUUCCUCAGGAUUUCUGGAGAAAUCAGACAUGAACAGUUCCUAAUGUAGGAGGCAGGGGAUAGAGGAGGCCACUAGGGAGUCAGCAAGGCUCCUGAGAGGAAAUCAUAUGUGGAAAGUAGAAGAUAAAAAGGAAAAGACUCAUCACUUUACUACAUAAGCAUUUACAAUUUUGACAAGGAAAAAUUUACAAAUAAAACUGAAACUUGGAAAUGGGAAAAAAAUGGGCCGCAUUAAGAGCUACCUUCCUUCAUAUAUAAAAAGCACUCACAAAAGAGACACUGAAUCACCAAGCAGAGGCAUAUUUUACCUCUAAGUGACCUUAGUUGAGGUUUAUGGAUCAAAUUUCAAUUUCACAGUUAUUCUGGGAAUAAAGAAUGGAAACCCCAUAAUGUCCUUGGGAAACUCAGUUUCCCUUUGCUUCAGGGAAAAAUCAUUUGUCACAGAAAUGAUUAUAAGGAGAAAGCGCUACACUUACCUGACUGUGACAGAUGAUCCAGGAGAUUCUUUUAACAAAGUGUUUCUGUAGCACCCUGUAUUCUGAUUGUACACUUCUGGUGGAGGGGCUUGAAAAUCCCAAGGCUUCAUUUUGGAACUUUCAUCCUUAGAAUAUAUCCACUCUGGCUUUCCAAACCCUGUUGGAAUUGACCAUAUCUAGUUUGCAGAGAAUGUUGGGAUAUUUUUAUCCCGCUGUGACUUUAAUAUUUCAAGGGGCCAGGUAUAGUUGGAAUGACAUCCACUCUUACUGUUAUGGGUUGAAUCGUGUCUCCACAAAUACAUUUUUUUUGAAGUGAAGUCCUGACCCUUCCAGCACCUCAGAAUGUGACCUUAUUUGGAGAUUAGGGUCUUCACAGAGGUAAUCAAAUUAAAACACGGUCAUUAGGGAGGGCUCUAAUACCAUAUGACUGUGUACUUAUAAAAAGGGAGAAACUUGGAGACAAACAUGCAUACAGAAAGAAUACCCUGUGAACACGAAGACAGCCAUCUACAUGCCAAAGAGAGAGGCCUGGAACAGAUCCUUCUCUCAUGGUCCUCAAAAGGAACCAAUCCUGCGGACUCCUUGAUUUGGCCUUCUGGUCUCCAGAACUCUGAGGCAAUAAAUUUCUGUCAUUUAAGCCACUUAGUCUUUGGUAUUUUGUUAUGACAGCCCUAUGAAACUUAUUCAGUCCCCACCAGUCGUUUACAUCCACUUCUCUAUGUCUAAAGUAAAAUAAAUUUUUUAAUCUUAAUGAAAAUGUUAUAUGAACUGUUUUCAGAUAGGGAAAGCAAUGGAGAGAUGGUGAGAAAGAAAAAGGACUAUUUGGCUAUUUCAGAACUAUCUGUAUUUUAGAAGCAUCCCUCAAUAUGUCAGGUGCCAUAAUAUAUUUAUGCCAGAAAUGCAAUGGUGAAUAAGACAACAUGGUUCCUGCCCUCAUGGAGUCAAUCCUCUAGCAGAAAAAAAAAAACAAAAAAACAACCUGAACUAGACAAUAAGAAGAGACUGUGAUGAGUGCUUUCUGUAAUAAGGGUAUGCAUAGCCUCCUGUGGGAACAGAUGAGAGAGCCCCUUAUCUACUCUUGGAUCCAGAAAGACUUCUCUGACUUGGAAGUGAUGUCUGAGCUAAAACUUGAGUAAUGUAUAGGAAUCAGCUGGUUUAAGGGCUGGAAGAUCAGUGAAAAAACAGUGAGGUCAAAGAGGGCAGUGUUUUUAGGUGAAGCCAACAGCUAGCCCUUAUGCUUCACUUAUAAAGAGGGGAGAAAACUUCUAUUUUGGAGCUGAGGAGAUGGCCCCAGGGCCAUGAGGGAACCAAGCAAAGCAGGUAGAGCUGUGCAAGUGGAAAAAAAAUUCCUCAGCCACAAUCUUUAUUUAGGCAACCUGUAGGUGUGGAGGUGACCUUGACCUUGGUGGGUCACCUCAAGUGCUAAAUGCAAGAGAAAUAACAUUGAGGCAUGCUAUCCAAUCGUCCUGACCUGUCCUCCCAGUGUUUUCACACAGUGCUUUCACAGCCUGAUUUGGGAGUUUCAAAAAGUGUUUUGCACAGAGCCAGACUUUGUGAGGGGGCCAACCAACAAAGAAAACCCCACUUAGCUGAUGGAAGAAUUGUUGGGGCUUGUCCCUUGAUGGGAAAGGCCACUCCCUCCUCUUCCAAUCCCUUCCAAGAAUUUUAAAACUGAAAGGGCCUUUUAUGUUUCUGAUAAAUGGUUUGGCAAACAGAGUUUUGGAAUCGUAUCCUACCUGACUUGCCUUCCACUAAUCCCCCCGCCCCCUCAUCAAAAUAAGUUGUGUCUCCUGGCAACACAGCUUGAGGAAUGAAUGGUGUGUCAGGAAGGUCUGCAGGUCGCUUCUGGGUCCUCAUCGUGGUUUUGCUGUUAACUAGUCCUGUGACUGAAAAAAAAAAAAUCCUCUCAUCCCUGACUCUUGGUUUCUAAAAGUAUAAACCAAUUGGGGUCAGCAAUUCUGCUUCAAUACCUCCUAACUUGAGUGUUAAGAUUCUAUUAUUCUUUCUGUAUCCAAAGCCGCUUUAAUUCACCCCCACUCAACCUAACUGUAGCCCAGUCAUUGUCAGAGGUCAGAGGAAGUGACUCUUGGCAGUGUUGGGCCGUCAUAUGGCUGCUGUGUUGUCCUUAGAGCUAUGAAGUGUGGGUAAACAUGAACCAGCAGAAAAGCAAUUUCCCCCCCUGCUCUCUCACCUGCCGUCAUCUACGAUGGCAAACUUUUCCCUCCACCGCCACCCCCAUCCUCUUCCACCCACAAAUUCAUCCAAAAACUUUUGCCUAGAGGGGAAUUCAAGACAUUUCUUUAAUGGUCAGAAUUGUGCUGGGUCAAGACUUUUAACUGUGUGUUUAAUUAGUCAUCUGUAUGCAUGUAACUUAAAGGCGUUCAGCUGUGCCUUUUUAUAGGAUUAAUAAAGCGGGUUGUAAAUCACCUAUGCAGCCUAUAAAAGUAUUUAUAGCAGCUUUUCUCUCCCUUUGCCAUUAUAGAAGCUUUGUUUGAACUAGCUGAGGUUUGCAUGGGGAGAGUUCUACCCAGUUCUAGGAGGAAAGCGUUAACAGUCCCUUCCUGGCAAACCACAACUCCAUCAUUAGGCAAUGCAAAAUGUGCUGAAAUGUUAAGCUCCAGCAAGGACGUUCCAAGGCGUUACUGCCAACAGCAAGCCUUCUGUGUUAAUUAAAAUCAAAAUACAAAAAAGCCAGUCAAACUGCAGGCACAAAACUUAAGCCGAACUUGAGAAAUAUGACCAGAGCUGGAAUGCCAUGGCUUCUUGACUUCUAUAAACCUUAACAGGAUUUGGCAAGCCCUUCUCCAAGCUCAUGCAUUUGCCCUAGCCAAACACCUUUUGGAACCACCUCUGCCAAUUUCACAUAUCACUGAGUCUGCAAAGGAACAAGCCACCUUUUGUCUGAUAGACGGUCAGAGCUGUUGUGGGUAAAGUAAACAGUUACCAGAACUCCUUCUUUGUGUCAGCAGGAGGUUCAUUUCUCAUACUCUUCUCUUUCCAGCCU